ACUCCUACGGGAGGCAGCAGUAGGGAAUCUUCCACAAUGGGCGCAAGCCUGAUGGAGCAACACCGCGUGAGUGAAGAAGGGUUUCGGCUCGUAAAGCUCUGUUGUUAAAGAAGAACACGUAUGAGAGUAACUGUUCAUACGUUGACGGUAUUUAACCAGAAAGUCACGGCUAACUACGUGCCAGCAGCCGCGGUAAUACGUAGGUGGCAAGCGUUAUCCGGGAUUUAUUGGGCGUAAAAGAGAGUGCAGGGCGGUUUUUCUAAGUCUGAUGUGAAAGCCUUUCGGCUUAACCGGAGAAGUGCAUCGGAAACUGGAUAAACUUGAGUGCAGAAGAGGGUAGUGGAACUCCAUGUGUAGCGGUGGAAUGCGUAGAUAUAUGGAAG
rnacentral:rRNA from 1 species